CCUACGGGGGGCAGCAGUGGGGAAUUUUGCACAAUGGGCGAAAGCCUGAUGCAGCAACGCCGCGUGAGCGAAGAAGGCCUUUGGGUCGUAAAGCUCUGUCCUAAGGGAAGAAGGAAGUGACGGUACCUUAGGAGGAAGCCCCGGCUAACUACGUGCCAGCAGCCGCGGUAAUACGUAGGGGGCAAGCGUUAUCCGGAAUUAUUGGGCGUAAAGAGUACGUAGGCGGUUCUUUAAGCGUAGGGUCUAAGGCGAUGGCUUAACCAUCGUUCGCCCUGUGAACUGGAGGACUUGAGUAUCGGAGAGGAAAGCGGAAUUCCUAGUGUAGCGGUGAAAUGCGUAGAUAUUAGGAGGAACACCAGUGGCGAAGGCAGCUUACCAAUCUAUAUCUGACGUUGAGGCACGAAAGCGUGGGGAGCAAACAGGAUUAGAUACCCGGGUAGUC
rnacentral:rRNA from 1 species